rnacentral:tRNA from 1 species
AACAAAUUUUUGUAGGUCUUCUAAAUCUAUCUUGGGAGGAUUCCCGUUUGUUU